rnacentral:rRNA from 1 species
UACGUAGGGUGCGAGCGUUGUCCGGAAUUACUGGGCGUAAAGAGCUCGUAGGUGGUUUGUCGCGUUUGUCCGUGAAAUUCCCUGGCUUAACUGGGGGCCUGCAUUCGAUACGGGCAGACUAGAGUUCGGUAGGGGAGUCGUGGAAUUCCUGGGUGUAGCGGUGGAAAUGACGCAGAUAUCAGGAGGAACACCGGUGGCGAAGGCGGGACUCUGGGCCGAUACUGACGCUGAGGAGCGAAAGCGUGGGGAGCAAACAGG